AAACCUCUAACAUAUGUGCGAGUGGGUUUUGAAGAGUUUCAAAGCCUUCGGAUUCGCGGGAUUGUGGGAUCUCUUGGUGUACUUUUUCGUACGGUUAGUCAACAUCGGUUUGAAUGUCAUAAAAUGACUGGAGGAAUGUAGCUUCGAUCUCGUAUUGAAGUGUUAUAGCCUUUGGUAGAUGUGAUGUUGAGGACCGGGGGUUGCAACGGAUACCCGUUAGGGCUUAUUCGUCUGAUCUCUGAUACGUUCG
rnacentral:rRNA from 1 species